rnacentral:rRNA from 1 species
CAGUCGCCACGGUAAUACGUAGGGUGCAAGCGUUAAUCGGAAUUACUGGGCGUAAAGCGUGCGCAGGCGGUUUUGUAAGACAGAGGUGAAAUCCCCGGGCUCAACCUGGGAACUGCCUUUGUGACUGCAAGGCUGGAGUGCGGCAGAGGGGGAUGGAAUUCCGCGUGUAGCAGUGAAAUGCGUAAAUAUGCGGAGGAACACCGAUGGCGAAGGCAAUCCCCUGGGCCUGCACUGACGCUCAUGCACGAAAGCGUGGGGAGCAAACAGGAUUAGAUACCCGGGUAGUCCCUGUCUCUUAUAC